rnacentral:rRNA from 1 species
AUUGAACGCUGGCGGCAGGCCUAACACAUGCAAGUCGAGCGGAUGAGAGGAGCUUGCUCCUCGAUUCAGCGGCGGACGGGUGAGUAAUGCCUAGGAAUCUGCCCAGUAGUGGGGGACAACGUUUCGAAAGGAACGCUAAUACCGCAUACGUCCUACGGGAGAAAGUGGGGGAUCUUCGGACCUCACGCUAUUGGAUGAGCCUAGGUCGGAUUAGCUAGUUGGUAGGGUAAAGGCCUACCAAGGCGACGAUCCGUAACUGGUCUGAGAGGAUGAUCAGUCACACUGGAACUGGGACACGGUCCAGACUCCUACGGGAGGCAGCAGUGGGGAAUAUUGGACAAUGGGCGCAAGCCUGAUCCAGCCAUGCCGCGUGUGUGAAGAAGGCCCUCGGGUCGUAAAGCACUUUAAGUUGGGAGGAAGGGCUUACAGCGAAUACCUGUGAGUUUUGACGUUACCGACAGAAUAAGCACCGGCUAACUUCGUGCCAGCAGCCGCUGUAA